UACGGGGGGGGCAAGCGUUGUUCGGAAUUACUGGGCGUAAAGGGCUCGUAGGCGGCCAACUAAGUCAGACGUGAAAUCCCUCGGCUUAACCGGGGAACUGCGUCCGAUACUGGCAGGCUUGAAUCCGGGAGAGGGAUGCGGAAUUCCAGGUGUAGCGGUGAAAUGCGUAGAUAUCUGGAGGAACACCGGUGGCGAAGGCGGCAUCCUGGACCGGUAUUGACGCUGAGGCGCGAAAGCCAGGGGAGCAAACGGG
rnacentral:rRNA from 1 species